rnacentral:rRNA from 1 species
GAUGAACGCUGGCGGCGUGCCUAAUACAUGCAAGUCGAGCGAACAGACGAGGAGCUUGCUCCUUUGACGUUAGCGGCGGACGGGUGAGUAACACGUGGCUAACCUACCUAUAAGACUGGGAUAACUUCGGGAAACCGGAGCUAAUACCGGAUAAUAUUUCGAACCGCAUGGUUCGAUAGUGAAAGAUGGCUUUGCUAUCACUUAUAGAUGGACCUGCGCCGUAUUAGCUAGUUGGUAAGGUAACGGCUUACCAAGGCAACGAUACGUAGCCGACCUGAGAGGGUGAUCGGCCACACUGGAACUGAGACACGGUCCAGACUCCUACGGGAGGCAGCAGUAGGGAAUCUUCCGCAAUGGGCGAAAGCCUGACGGAGCAACGCCGCGUGAGUGAUGAAGGUCUUCGGAUCGUAAAACUCUGUUAUUAGGGAAGAACAAACGUGUAAGUAACUGUGCACGUCUUGACGGUACCUAAUCAGAAAGCCACGGCUAACUACGUG